AUUGAACGCUGGCGGCAUGCUUUACACAUGCAAGUCGAACGGUAACAGGCCUUCGGGUGCUGACGAGUGGCGAACGGGUGAGUAAUGCAUCGGAACGUGCCCAGAGGUGGGGGAUAACGCAGCGAAAGCUGUGCUAAUACCGCAUGUGAUCUGAGGAUGAAAGCGGGGGACCAGGCAGCAAUGUUUGGCCUCGCGCCUUUGGAGCGGCCGAUGUCAGAUUAGGUAGUUGGUGGGGUAAAGGCCUACCAAGCCGACGAUCUGUAGCUGGUCUGAGAGGACGACCAGCCACACUGGGACUGAGACACGGCCCAGACUCCUACGGGAGGCAGCAGUGGGAAAUUUUGGACAAUGGGCGCAAGCCUGAUCCAGCAAUGCCGCGUGCGGGAAGAAGGCCUUCGGGUUGUAAACCGCUUUUGUACGGAACGAAAAGGCUCUGGCUAAUACCUGGGGCUGAUGACGGUACCGUAAGAAUAAGCACCGGCUAACUACGUG
rnacentral:rRNA from 1 species